rnacentral:sRNA from 1 species
UUUGUUAUAUUAGGUAAAACCCUGAACCAUGUUGAAAAUACAUGAUGUAUCGCAAAAUAUAACCGUGUGCAUAUUAAACCCGUGUUUUGUUUUUAAAAACCAUUAAUAAGUAAACUUGACCUACCACAAAACUACGAAAUCCAUAUUUAACAAUAUCUUAACGCAUUCAUGCACCCAAACUCGACCUAACACAAAACUAUGAAAUCCAUAUUUAACACUAGCUAAACGCAUUUAUGCAACCUUGUCAUCAGGGUCCACAAUAUCAUUUGUUGGGGCUGGCAGGGACGGUUCAGAUAUCAUCAGCAUUUGGCUUAAAUUGGCCUACAAUAAGAAACAGUAUAAUGUAAUUAGUUUGUUAGUGGUAACGAGAGUAAAAAGUAAUGAAUUAUAUGAUCUAACAUUAUCGGCUGUAGCAGGUGGGUCAGCAAGUCCUUCUCCAUCUUUGUCUGAAGCACCGUCAUCAACCAUUGGCUGUGGGGUUGACUUACAUUAGGCAGUCAAAUCAGACUCUAUCUGCAAGGCAAACAACAGACGUUAGAGCCAAUACACGGAAAAACAAACAAACAUAGUAACUAUGUGACAAGGUUUGAACUCACUAUGGAUGGUAUGGUGUUCCCAAACUCUGGCUGACCUACAUUGUAUGCAACACCAUCCAUGUCAACAAGCACCACAUAUGGAUCUGGGAGGCUGGGCUCAGAUUCAAAGAACUCAUUGACGUCUGUGGGAGGAGGAAGCAAACACUGAGUAUGACUCGCUGCAGCUGGAAUAGGUUUAUCAGGGCUAGUUUGGAUAUCAUCAAGGCGCUCUCCACCUAUCCCAUCACCGGGGGCAUCAACCAAGAUAUUAUCUUG